GUCUUCUACUUUUUCGUUCCGUCGUAGACUUCUACAACCUAAGGUGAUAAGAAGUCUAGGGAUUACAUUCCUACUGCUUGUAAGGACUCUGUGGCAAUUUUGCUCAUGUUUGAUCUAACAAGUCGGUGUACACUAAAUGAGAGAUUCAAAAAAUUGCUAAGUCUACCACUGAUGCCUUAUCACAUGUCUGCAGAUGUUCAUCUACAUCAAUGUCUUGCAAAUUAACCACAAUAACAAUACCGGGAAGAUAUUUAAAGUAGAGGGGACAGAGAUCCAUCAAUAUUCGUUAGAUGAUGUGUUUCCGCUCACACCUAUCUAAUAAUCUUCUUUCAAAGCUGUGUUUUGUAAUUCAUAUAUUGUAAUUUUUUGUUUUGUAAUAUAAUUUAUAAAUACCAAAUAAUGUAAUAUGUAGUGAAUUGCAUUGUGUUGCAUGCAUUUUACAUGAUGAAUAUUGUAUAUAUUUUCAUUUACAUGCAUAAAAAGGUAAUUAGUUUCUAACUUUACUUAUUUUUUACAUAAAAUUUAAUUUUCUAUUUUGAUAUAUUUUUAUUUUUAUGGACAAUGUUCAAUGCUUUUAUGCUUUUCAACAUGAUUUCUUGAAAUAUAGGGUUUUAGAUUAAAAAAAAAAUUAUUUAUGCUUUUUAACAUUACUUUCUU